rnacentral:sRNA from 1 species
GCGGCAGCCCCUGGUGACGUGCUGUCCACCAGGCCUUGGAGACAGGCUAGCCUGACCACAGAAUUAAACGUGUUGCCACACCUGCCAGUCUCUGAACUCUGUCCUUGGCUUCCCGCACCUUGCGUCACCACCUCCAGGGCCCCCCAGACCCUAACUAAAGCAGGGACCCUGUGUCUGGCACCGGACAGCACCUGGCUGCUCAGGACGAAUGAAUGACAGCGUGAUCCUCCACACCCUGACUUGCACCCUGUGGCUGCUGCACUGCUCCCUCUGGCCCAGCCAUGCCUCUGCCCAGCCACCUGCUGCCCGCCUUGGUCCUGUUCCUGGGAGCCCUGGCCAGGCCGUGUGCAACUUCGUGUGUGACUGCAGGGACUGCUCAGAUGAGGCCCAGUGUGGUGAGCCAAGGCCAGAUGGGCGGGCAGGGCCAGUGUGAGCAGGUCUGGCGCACACCUGACCACCCACUCUCCCAGGUUACCACGGGGCUUCGCCCACCCGGGGAGCCCCCUUCGCCUGUGACUUCGAGCAGGACCCCUGCGGCUGGCGGGACAUUAGCACCUCAGGCUACAGCUGGCUCCGAGACAGGGCGGGGGCCGCACUGGAGGGUCCUGGGCCUCACUCAGACCACACACUGGGCACCGACUUGGGUGAGGUCAGGGCGAGUCUCUGUGCGCCCCUGUCCCAACACCCUCCUUGCUCCCUGCCCCGUCUCCUGACCUCUUUUCUGGGCCAGGCUGGUACAUGGCUGUUGGAACCCACCAAGGGAAAGAGGCAUCCACCGCAGUCCUGCGCUCGCCAACCCUGCGAGAGGCAGCCUCCUCCUGCAAGCUGAGGCUCUGGUACCACGCGGCCUCUGGAGGUGCACCCUGGACCCCCAAGGCUCAUGGGGGGUGCCCAAGGGGAGGGCGGGUGGGCAGCUGGGGACGAGCAGGGCCGCAGCUGCCCUGGGACCCCUGACAUUGCAGAUGUGGCUGAGCUGCGGCUGGAGCUGACCCAUGGCCCAGAGACCCUGACUCUGUGGCAGAGCACAGGGCCCUGGGGCCCUGGCUGGCAGGAGUUGGCAGUGACCACAGGCCGCAUCCAGGGUGACUUCCGAGUGACCUUCUCUGCCACCCGAAAUGCCACCCACAGGGGCGCUGUGGCUCUAGAUGACCUAGAGUUCUGGGACUGUGGUCUACCCACCCCCCAGGCCAGCUGUCCCCUGGGACACCACCACUGCCAGAACAAGGUCUGCGUGGAGCCCCAGCAGCUGUGCGACGGGGAAGACAAUUGCGGGGACCUGUCUGAUGAGAACCCACACACCUGUGGCCGCCACAUAGCCACCGACUUUGAGACAGGCCUGGGCCCAUGGAACCGCUCGGAAGGCUGGUCCCGGAACCACAGCGCUGGUGGUCCUGAGCGCCCCUCCUGGCCACGCCGUGACCACAGCCGGAACAGUGCACAGGCUGGUCUUCUAUCACUACCUGCACGGGUCUGAGGCUGGCUGCCUCCAGCUGUUCCUGCAGACUCUAGGGCCCGGCGCCCCCCAGGCCCCCGUCCUGCUGCGGAGGCGCCGAGGGGAGCUGGGGACCGCCUGGGUCCGAGACCGUGUUGACAUCCAGAGCACCCACCCCUUCCAGAUCCUCCUGGCCGGGCAGACAGGCCCAGGGGGCGUCGUGGGUCUGGACGACCUCAUCCUGUCUGACCACUGCAGACCAGUCUUGGAGGUGUCCACCCUGCAGCCGCUGCCUCCUGGGCCCUGGGCCCCAGCCCCCCAGCCCCUGCUGCCCAGCUCGCGGCUCCAGGAUUCCUGCAAGCAGGGGCAUCUCGCCUGCGGGGACUUGUGUGUGCCCCCGGAACAACUGUGUGACUUCGAGGAGCAGUGCGCAGGGGGCGAGGACGAGCAGGCCUGCGGCACCACAGACUUUGAGUCUCCUGAGGCCGGGGGCUGGGAGGACGCCAGCGUGGGGCGGCUGCAGUGGCGGCGUCUCUCAGCCCAGGAGAGCCAGGGGUCCAGUGCAGCUGCUGCUGGGCACUUCCUGUCUCUGCAGAGGGCCUGGGGGCAGCUAAGUGCUGAGGCCCGGGUCCUUACACCCCUCCUUGGCCCUUCUGGCCCCAGAUGUGAACUCCACCUGGCUUAUUAUUUACAGAGUCAGCUCCGAGCUGGAGUUUGUCGGUUUGGCGGACUUGGAUGGCCCUGACCAGCAGGGAGCUGGGGUGGACAACGUGACCCUGAGGGACUGUAGCCCCACAGUGACCACCGAGAGAGACAGAGGUUCCUGCUGCCUAUCCUCACUCCCGCCUGGGUGCUCCCCUUACACUCCUCCAGGGACCCCGGAGCUUCCACCUUCUCAGGGCUCUGGAGGGGGAGGGGGGAAGGUGUGUGACGCCACCUGGCCCCACCCCCAGAGGUCUCCUGUAACUUUGAGCGGGACACAUGCAGCUGGUACCCAGGCCACCUCUCAGACACACACUGGCGCUGGGUGGAGAGCCGCGGGCCUGACCACGACCACACCACAGGCCAAGGCCACUUUGUGCUCCUGGACCCCACAGACCCCCUGGCCUGGGGCCACAGCGCCCACCUGCUCUCCAGGCCCCAGGUGCCAACAGCACCCACGGAGUGUCUCAGCUUCUGGUACCACCUCCAUGGGCCCCAGAUUGGGACUCUGCGCCUAGCCAUGAGACGGGAAGGGGAGGAGACACACCUAUGGUCACGGUCGGGCACCCAGGGCAACCGCUGGCAUGAGGCCUGGGCCACCCUUUCCCACCAGCCUGGCUCCCGUGCCCAGUACCAGGUGAGGCCUGGCACCCGGGUGGGAGGACAGAGCAGGGCCCCUGGCCAGCUGACACCUUCCACCCCUAGCUGCUGUUCGAGGGCCUCCGGGACGGAUACCAUGGCACCAUGGCGCUGGAUGAUGUGGCCGUGCGGCCGGGCCCCUGCUGGGCCCCUAAUUACUGCUCCUUUGAGGACUCAGACUGCGGCUUCUCCCCUGGAGGCCAGGGUCUCUGGAGGCGGCAGGCCAGUGCCUCAGGCCAUGCUGCCUGGGGCCCCCCAACAGACCAUACCACUGAGACAGCCCAAGGUAUGGGGGCCUGGCAGGGGCAGGGAUUAAGGGGCUGGCCAGGGGCUGGCAGGCUGAUGCUGGCACCUCCAGGGCACUACAUGGUGGUGGACACAAGCCCAGACGCACUGCCCCGGGGUCAGACGGCCUCCCUGACCUCCAAGGAGCACAGGCCCCUGGCCCAGCCUGCUUGUCUGACCUUCUGGUACCACGGGAGCCUCCGCAGCCCAGGCACCCUGCGGGUCUACCUGGAGGAGCGCGGGAGGCACCAGGUGCUCAACCUCAGUGCCCACGGCGGGCUUGCCUGGCGCCUGGGCAGCGUGGACGUGCAGGCCGAGCGAGCCUGGAGGGUUCCUGUGAUUUUGAGUCUGGCCUGUGUGGCUGGAGCCACCUGGCCUGGCCCAGCCUGGGCGGAUACAGCUGGGACUGGGGCGGGGGAGCCACCCCGUCUCGUUACCCCCAGCCCCCUGUGGACCACACCCUGGGUACAGAGGCAGGCCACUUUGCCUUCUUUGAAACUGGCGUGCUGGGCCCUGGGGGCCGGGCCGCCUGGCUGCGCAGCGAGCCUCUGCCGGCCACCCCAGCCUCCUGCCUCCGCUUCUGGUAUCACAUGGGCUUUCCUGAGCACUUCUACAAGGGGGAGCUGAAGGUGCUGCUGCACAGUGCCCAGGGCCAGCUGGCUGUGUGGGGCGCAGGCGGGCAUCGGCGGCACCAGUGGCUGGAGGCCCAGGUGGAGGUAGCCAGUGCCAAGGAGUUCCAGGUGAGGCCGGCUGUGGGCCAGGAGCCUCCUCCUCCUCCACCCAGGGCCCAUACAGACUCCUUUCCUUCCCUAUCAGAUCGUGUUUGAAGCCACUCUGGGCAGCCAGCCAGCCCUGGGGCCCAUUGCCCUGGAUGAUGUGGAGUAUCUGGCCGGGCAGCGUUGCCAGCAGCCUGCCCCCAGCCCGGGGGACACAGCCACACCCGUGUCUGUGCCAGCUGCGGUUGGCAGUGCCCUCCUAUUGCUCAUGCUCCUGGUGCUGCUGGGACUUGGGGGACGGCGCUGGCUGCAGAAGAGGGGGAGCUGCCCCUUCCAGAGCAACAGAGAGGCCACAGCCCCCGGCUUUGACAACAUCCUUUUCAAUGUGGAUGGUGUCAGCCUCCCGGCAUCUGUCACCAGUGAUCCGUAGACCACCCCAGACAAGGCCCCGCUUCCUCACGUGACAUCCAGCACUUGGUCAGACCCUAGCCAGGGACCGGACACCUGCCCUGCCCAGGCUGGGACAGGCUGCAGGUCUCAGGACAUGCCGAGGCCUGGGCGUUCCCUGCCCUGUGCUCUGUUGCUCUGUGAAUAAACACCCUGGCCCAUGAGGGCAGCCCAA